CUGAAUCUGAUCAACCAGAUCAGAUUCAGACAUUCCCCGGAUUUAAUUGUAUCUGACGAGAUUUAAUCCGUUAGCUGAUUUUUCAGAAUUUCCCCACCUAACCUAACCUUACUUAACCCAAAUUAUUCUACGUUUUCAAGAUCUAUAUACAUACAUUAAAUGUUAACAUGAAAUUAAAUUGAUGAUCUCAUGAAUUAAUCGACAAUUUUUUGUUUUUUUUUUGUUUUAGGUGAGUACCAAUUGAAUUUUCCUGAUCUUACUCGUAUGGAUUUUAUGCCUACAUGUAAGUAUUAAUUCCAUUUAUAAGGUUUGCAGCCAAAAACUUAUGUUUCUUGGUAUUCCUACGUUCCAUCAAAAUGUUCUAAAGCUAUAAGAAUGAAUUCGGUGUAAAUUAUAGGAUGGAAAUUGAUUAAUAGCCAAAAUGAAAAUCAAAUCAAACAAAUACUUGAACAAAAUUACCUACGUCAUGAAAAAUCAGUGAAAUUUUGUUUCUUGGAACACAACGCUAUAUGAAACUGAAAUCAAAACCAAAUCAGUUUUCACAAAAAAAAAAAAAAAAAUCAUUUAAAAAUCCAUAAAUCAAUUUCUUCAACUUUUUUCUUUCAUUAAAUCAGCUAGUGAAAAAAAAUUAAUGGCUAAUAAAUCACUGUAGUUCCUUUUUCUUGAUAAUUUAAAUAUGGCACCGAAGAAAAAUAUUGAUUUUCACCCCACACAGAAGAUUUACUUUAAGGGUGAAAAGGUUCUCCUCACUUCGACCCCUCUACUGCUCCAUGUGAGGUGUAUGUGUACACUGCUCGAAUUUAAUGAUCCGUAUCAAAGUUCACGGGAGGAUUUCAGCCCUGACGCAGUUUUAUUUUCUUGCGUAUAUCUAUCAAUCCUCGAUUAUUUUGGGGAGUCGGAUUUUUAAGUGUAUCGGAAAUGGUUCAAAGAACAGGAGUUGAACGUUUGCUGUGAGAUAUUUAUGUGUAUUUGGGCACCUCAACAAGAGCGUUGAGUGACGAAAUAUGUACUUUUGCUUUAGUCGAGGUAUCGAAUCAUAUACUUAUCUUUUCAUUUAUUCGCUAAUUAAUUAAGUAUUUUCAACUAGGUGGGUACAUGAUUUAAUUCAUACCUUUUUGAAAAUCGUUUAUUCUUUCAACGUAUCGAAAAAACUGUUGCUGCAUGAACGAAGACUUUUUCGAAUUCUUGGACAACUUUUUCCAUAAUUUCGCUGAACCAAUAGAACGCAUCUGCUUCUAUUUUCCCUGUACAGUGUAUACGUAGUAUAGAAAUGUACGUAAAUACAUCAGAGUUUUAUGUAAUGGGCCACCUGUUCCAUCAAGUGUGUAACUUUUGAUUUGAACCUCACACAAACACGUACCAUCGGCACAUUUUUACUGCUCCCAAUAUUCUUUCAUCGAGGAAAAAACAAAAAAAAAUGUACAGCCACAAUCAAAGUAGAAUAUGGAACACAGGAACACAGCACAUCACGAUACAUGAUUGUAUCUGUGUGUUUGGAGUUACUUUUUUUAAAACAAUAAUAUUCUGUGUCAACGAGGCUUUAGUCAAUAACCCGCGAGCUUGUAAUAAUAAAUAGUAAUUGAAAACGGAAACCUAAUCAGUGUGUGGUAAAAUAGGCCUCAGUCUUGAAGUGCAUUGGAACAGGUUGUGGGAGAAGAGGGAGAGAGUUUGAUGAAAUUAUCCUCGCAGCUUUAAUCUGCAAUUCUGCAUGCUGACUAUUUUUUAAAAAAAUCACAAUUUUUUGCAGUGUUUUUUUUGCAAUGUAAACACGCCUUAUGGAUUAUUUUUUGCAAUGUAAAUGUGCCAAAUAGGCUCAAAUGAUCAUGAAGAGUUUCUAAAUCACAAAAAAAAAAUCAUCUAAUCUGUUGGGUUGGAUCGUAUCCAAAAUUUUGUAGACUUCAUUUUUAAAAUGAUUGAUCAUGAUUCAUGGGACACUCAACAGUAUUUUUUUUACACUCAUUCAUCGCCCAGUUAUUGAUCCCAAAAUUGUAGUUCAUUGAAUUAAAUGUGAUUCGAGUGUACCUAGAAGAUAGUAUUUUGAAAAUUCCAUGUUCAAGUCAUCCAAGAGUACAAUGGAUCAAGUAGUUCCCAAAAUGCCCAUGUUGAGUAAUUUUGGACGUUUUGGUCUCGCCUGCUCAUAGAUAAUUGAAACAGAUUUUCAAUUCAAUCAUUUACAAUUUGAUUCACCCCCUCUUCGUUGUGAUGAUAAUUAUUACAUUCCGAAAAAUUUCUAGUGUCCAGUCCAGUCAUUAACAAAGGGUGAAAUCUGAAGGAGAUAGCGACAUAAAAGAACCAAAACAUUUGGCGAAUUAGAUAGGUAUGUACUUGAGAACUCGUGUACUACGCUAGAGGACAAAUUUAUAAUCUGAUUAGAUGCACCUACUUAAUUCCAUUAAUUGAAUACAGUUGUGGAACGAAUCCUCGCAUAUGUACAUAAAUACAUUGUGGCGUAAAUAUGGUGUUUUUUACCCUUUACACCCUUUUGCCCCCUCACACAUUUCGAAUUUCUCUCUUUAUAAAUCACACUCUCAUGUACCUAAUAUAUGUGUACAUUUUGAUGAUGGUUGUGUUGGUGUUAGUUUUGUUUUUUUCUCUCCUUUUUCUCUCUUCACUCCACAUCGUAUAGUUCUCCGUUCAUCGUCAUCGGCGUGAAUUGUAUACGCGCCAAACAUUGGGGCGCAUGUGCGUCGCGACGUUUAAAAUAGGGGGGAACGUACCGUCUUCCCUUGAAUCAUUAUACACGCUUGUAUACGGCGCUGUUUUUAUGGAGGCGUUGAGGGGCCAGAAGAGUAGAAAUGACAAAGGCGCCACUUGGUACAGGAUGAGUAAGUAUUUCAGUAUUUGAAAAUGUUUUCGAUGUAACGGUUCUCGAUGAACGGAUUAUCUGCGGUGUAAUUGAUUCAGUGUGUGUUUUGGUCGAUCUUAACGUAAAUUUUCAUAAAAUUUCAAAAUACACAAAUUUAAACGCCGUCGAAAAAGUGACGAAAAAAAAUGAAGUUGCGUCCGCGAAAUUAAUCGUUUAUGUGAUUUUUUUUAGUUGAAAAUUUUACGUGUUUGUGUUCAUCAAUUUUUUUUCCAAAUAAAUGUGUCGGUUUUUCGAAGACGUCUAUUUAGAGCAGAAGAAAUUCGCGCGUCGAUAACGAUACAACAAAACGAAAAAAAAAAGGAAAAAAAAAGAAUCCCCUGUAGUCUGCGGAUUGCGUUGUAUAUAUGUUUCUUUAAGAAAAUGAAAAUAUCGUUGAGAAUGAGCGUGGCGGCGAUGUACACGCACUUAAAAGAUUAAAUCAUAUUCAGUUGAGAAAAAUUUCUCGUUUUGCUCGACGUUGAACUCGUCGCAACCAUAAAUUUUACGUACAACUUUUUGCAAACUCUUGAAACUUUUCAAGACUUGGAUGUACAACGUCGGUCGUCGGGGCUCUGCUCGCUCUCGGCUGUUUAGACGAUAGAAAGAGAGAGAAAAAAUUAUUUUUCAACGCCGCCAUAUAGCGCACAACAACACAUCGCACCGUCGUCCUGUCCGCGUGAUAAAUUCGUUAGACGAAAAAUUAAAGUAAUUUUUGACGUUCGACUUUUUGAAUGUAUAUUUACGUCGAGUUUUAUUCGAUCCGAUUAGACGAUGGUGUAAUUCGAAAACGAACGCGAAACUCGACCAAUUGGCUGUGAUAUUUUUAACGUCCAUUUCUUCUCUUAAGAUAUUCGAGCAAAGACGGUAAAUGGUUUUCUAUUUUUUAACGCGCAAGUUUCGAGAAAAAGGCUGAUUUUAUACAUGGCAGUUGACCAAUCGUACGAAAAAUGUAACUCGAGGUAAGAUAUUGUUUUCAUGUAUUUUUUUUUUUGGUAGAUUUUUUUGUGUCCUUUAGAAGGAAAUUUAGUCCAAGUUUUCAUCGAACAAAAAAAACCACUCGUGACUCAUGAGGAAGUAUUUUCAAAAUACGUAUGGGUAUAAUAUUCCAAUUAAUGUUUAAAUUAUGCCCUGCUUCCCCCUCCCUAUAUUUUUCCUUUGAUAGGUAUGCCUAAUACGAAUUAAUAACGAACUCGUUGAUUUUUUUUCGCAUAAUUAUUUUAUGUACCUACUUAUAGGUAGGUACCUAGAGAAAUACAUAUUACCAUAUUACAUUUAUAACGUCAGCGAGCAAUUUUUCCUUUUUCCGAAACAUGAAAAUUGUAUUUAAGUUAUCACGAACACACCUAAAAACUGAAACUUUCACUUUAAAAUAUAUACGUAGGUAUAUUUUCGGUCGGUUUCUGCGUUAGUUUCAUUUCAAGUUCGACUUUAGAAACACCCUCAUCGACUCGAUCCCUGGUAUAUCUGUUGCCAACUUAGCACAAACUUGGAAAAUUCUUGGUAAAAGGGAAAAAAAUCUCUUGUAAACUUAUCACCGUCGACGUGGUAUUUUGGCAAAAUGCUGUGAAGAGUAACACUUUUACUUCUUGCUUUGCUGUGUACUGUGUGUUGUUGGGAAAAGCUCGAAAUUUCGAAUGCUCUUUUAUACGUUUUGGUAGGUACCCGGGUCGCUUCCUUAAUAAACGCAAUGCCAGCUUUUUAAUUUUUGGAAAUAUUUCAAGUCGUGCUCGGCGUACAAUUGCCAGCUUUUAGGAGGAGAAUUUUUUCCAAACGAAUGAGUAUAGGGUUGACUUUGAGGUCUACUUGAAAGCCCAUAGUUCUUUGGAGAUGGGCGAAAAUGUUUCUGAAAAUUGUUUGAUUAUUGCGGUUGUUUUUGGAAAAUGCAUUGGCAGAUAUGAGUGUCAACAAUAAGGGUGGGUCGUUUUCAUUUUUUUUUUAAAUUUGAUACAGAGCAAAACAAAAAAUCAAGGUCGAAGUACCUUAACAAUACGUGAGAAAAUUUUUAAAUUUUCAGAUCAAUUUUCAUGAGCUUUCCAAUAGCAGCUCAAAGUUCUAAAUUUUUUCAAAAUUGCCAAAAAAAUUAUAUAAAGUGGUCCCUUGAUAUCUUUUGUAUUUUUGUAUUAUCAUUUAUCAAAAUCCUUAAACCACUGGAAAAGCUCAAAGUUCAUUUUUGUCAAGUUCAGAAGUUUCAAAAUAACAGAGUUCUUGUCUAUAUAGUCAUAUGUAUUUCGUGAUUCUGAACAUCAAAAGAUCAAGAUCACUUGAACCAACAAAGAAUACUAAAAAAAAAGAUUUUGAAUUUUUUGAAAAUUUUGAAAAUUGUUGAGAGGUUAGGCAUUGACAGUGAACUUUAAAAUUCUUCUUCAUGUCUUGUUGAGUCCAAUUAGCCACUUUAGCUAGGCUCGAUCGAAUUUUUGAAAAAAAUUGAAAAACGACCAACCCGAGUAUUGAAGCUAAAAAACUUGAGUAAAAUUGAUUUAUGAAGAAUUUUUAUUUCAAUUGAAAUAUUCGUUUAAAUGACAAAUUGUGACAGAAAAAUCGCCAAUUGAGUAUUAUAUCCACUUCAUAAAAUAUCAAAGGAAUAAAUUAUUGGUUUUUCAAAAAAAAAAAAAAAAAAAAUGAUCAUAGGAAAAAAUGGAACAUGAAAACUGAAUAAAUUUUGUUUUGGGUGCUUUCUU